AAUUAAUCUAAAUUGCCAUUAAUUAGAGUUGAAUAGACAAAAGUGCCCUUAGUUUCUUAUAAUUUAUUAUAUAUAAAAAUAAAAAAAUAAGCUCUAACUAACCGUCAACAACUAACCCAACAAACCCUCCCCCCAAACAAACUUUCCCAGCCUUGUUUCUCAUUCUCAACUGGCUUAAGCUUUGCUCCCUAGCAACCACGAGCCAUCCCGAUAUUUUCCCAGUUUCCAACCCCCUAGCUCUAGCCCCUCCAUCACCCAAUCUCUCCUCAAUUUCAUUGUCGAAACCUUCAAAUAUGAAAAAAUAACAAUUGAAAUUGCAUUAACACUUGCAAGGUUCUCCAUCUCCUAGCAGCAUCGUCUUUGGUAAGUAUGUGGUUUGGCAGCCCGCCUCACGCUCGCUAUCGAUGCCGUAGGUAAUAUAUAAUUCAAAUUUUUUGGAAAUUUAUUGAUUCAAAGUUGGGAAUUCCGAAUUGUUUUUUAUCAAUAUGAAUAUAAGGUUACGUAGACCAUAAUCCAACAUAAUACAAUUAAAAUUUCUAUUUAUAUGCAACCUGUGAAGAAAGAGAUGAGUGGCUUUUGAAAUUAUCGUAAUUGUUGCCUUGUGGAAUCUUAGUAACAGAGAAACUUUUGAAUUGAAUUAAAUGCACACAAUUGAUAAUUGGAUUGUAUAAAAAAAUAACAAAUAAAAAGGAAAAAAAAAAUGAAAACUACCACGAGAUGGAUAGAGAAACUAGAAUUUUUCUCAAGAAUCAAAUGGAAAAUAAAGAUUUGAUUAAAAGAUUACCAGUUCUUUUCAGAGCCUGUCCUGAUGCUUCGUCAGAGCAAGAAAAGCUUCUGAGCAAUGGCGAUUCUUCUGUUUCACCACCCAUCUCUCUCUCUCUCUCUCUC
rnacentral:misc_RNA from 1 species